UACGUAGGGGGCAAGCGUUGUCCGGAUUUAUUGGGCGUAAAGAGCGUGUAGGCGGCCAGGGAGGUCCGUUGUGAAAACUCGAGGCUCAACCUCGAGACGCCGAUGGAAACCCCCUGGCUAGAGUCCGGAAGAGGAGAAUGGAAUUCCUGGUGUAGCGGUGAAAUGCGCAGAUAUCAGGAAGAACACCCGCGGCUAAGGCGGCUCUCUAGUACGGUACUGACGCUGAGACGCGAAAGCGUGGGGAGCGAACAGG
rnacentral:rRNA from 1 species